CAAAAAUACACGAAAUAAAAGUCAAGUGAAAAUAGUUAUAAAUGACUUUAUCAAUUAUGAGUAGCUAAACAUUAUCGACUUUUGGACACUGAUGCGCAGGAGAACCCCUAGCUGUCAAUCAAGCAGGCGCGGUGAACGGAUUAUGACGCUCAAGCGUUCCAAAUGACGCAACAAUACAGCUCCAGACCAGAGAAAGUUAAUGCCGAGGAUAUUAUUCGGUUCAACACUAAAACUGAGGUUUGACACAUGUGAUUUGAGGUGAGUCAAAUAUUUACAAAAGUUUACAAUACAUUAACCAUCCGCUUCGUUAUUUCUGUUGCUAUCAAUCACUCCAUCUGUAUCUACUCUUCUGUCUGUCUGUCGGACUAUCUGAAUUGUCUGUGUACUGUCUAGCCAGCAUAUGCCAGAAAGGUUCUUUCACAUAGGCUCAUAUUCACAAAGUCUCAUAGAAGGAGUGCUGAUCAAUAAUCAGUUUGGUCUUUUAAAUUAAACUGAAUACGUUUUGAUGGACAGGAGGCGACCUGAUCCUAGAUCAGCACUCCUACCCUGAAACACUUUGUGAACACAAUCCAGGUGUACUGUGAUUAUGAAGUUGUGAUGAGGUAUUAUUAUAUUAGUUGUGCUGAUGCAUGAUGGGUUGUAGGCUAGAGCUUGAGGACUCAACUCUGAAGACUGUUUCUGAAUUCACUGACCUGGUGAGUAAAUGUUGUGUACAAUGGCACCAUCUAGUGACAGAAACAUAGAAACACACAUUGUUGCUGAACGAAGGCAUCUCUUUAUUUUCCAGAAAUAAAACUUGUAGACCUUUCCUGCAGUCUCUGAGGAGAUGGACACCUCUUCUUCUUCUGGACGAUCUCCGUCUCCUACUGGGACUGUCUUCUUACCCCCUCCUAUCAUGUGGAACAGUCUCUACAAGCAGGCAGAGAUGGAGGUUCACUUCCCGAGAGAAGAGAAGAAGACCUGUACAGAGAAGGAAGCCCACAUGCUUGAGUUGAUGGGGAAGGAUCGAACGAUCCGAAAUCAGAAGAAGGAGAUGGGCAGACUCCAAGUGUGCCUCUGGGAGGAGGAAAAGAAGAAGAGGAAUGGUGAAACAGAGAAGGACAAGAUCAUUGAACAAUUACAGUCUGAGACAGACCAUCUCCGAGCCCUUUUAAAAGAUGAAAGGAGGAGAAGAAGAGUAGAAAGGGGUAUCAUGAAAGAGUGGAAGGCUGAGAUCCUGAGACUGAGGGAGGCAGAGAGCCAGAGGGAGGCAGAGAGUCAGAGGGAGUCAGAGAGCCAGAGGGAGGCAGAGAGCCAGAGAGAUUCAGAAAGACAGAGAGAAGCAGAGAGACAGAGAGAAGCAGAGAGACAGAGAGAAGCAGAGAGACAGAGAGAAGCAGAGAGACAGAGGGAGGCAGAGAGACAGAAGGAAGCAGAGAGACAGAGGGAGGCAGAGAGACAGAGAGAAGCAGAGAGACAGAGGGAAGCAGAGAGACAGAGGGAAG
rnacentral:lncRNA from 13 species